GAGUUUGAUCAUGGCUCAGAUUGAACGCUGGCGGCAGGCCUAACACAUGCAAGUCGAGCGGAUGACGGGAGCUUGCUCCUUGAUUCAGCGGCGGACGGGUGAGUAAUGCCUAGGAAUCUGCCUGGUAGUGGGGGACAACGUUUCGAAAGGAACGCUAAUACCGCAUACGUCCUACGGGAGAAAGCAGGGGACCUUCGGGCCUUGCGCUAUCAGAUGAGCCUAGGUCGGAUUAGCUAGUUGGUGGGGUAAUGGCUCACCAAAGGCGACGAUCCGUAACUGGUCUGAGAGGAUGAUCAGUCACACUGGAACUGAGACACGGUCCAGACUCCUACGGGAGGCAGCAGUGGGGAAUAUUGGACAAUGGGCGAAAGCCUGAUCCAGCCAUGCCGCGUGUGUGAAGAAGGUCUUCGGAUUGUAAAGCAC
rnacentral:rRNA from 1 species